rnacentral:rRNA from 1 species
UACGGGGGGGGCAAGCGUUGUUCGGAAUUACUGGGCGUAAAGGGCUCGUAGGCGGCCAACUAAGUCAUACGUGAAAUCCCUCGGCUUAACCGGGGAACUGCGUCUGAUACUGGAUGGCUUGAGAUUGGGAGAGGGAUGCGGAAUUCCAGGUGUAGCGGUGAAAUGCGUAGAUAUCUGGAGGAACACCGGUGGCGAAGGCGGCAUCCUGGACCGGCAUUGACGCUGAGGCGCGAAAGCCAGGGGAGCAAACGGG